rnacentral:lncRNA from 1 species
GUGGGUCGACUCUAUCCCCACAUGGUGUGUUGGGUUGGUACGGGUGGUGUGUUGGCUGGAUUGGGAUGGGUUUGCAUACUUGCACCAAACUGAUACUGUAUCGGGCUUAGGCCCAUACUGUUUCUGUAUUGGGCUAAGGCCCACACUGUACUAUUACUGUUAAAGGGCUCUGGGCUAAACUGAUUUUGUUUUGUAUGCCG